UACAGACACAUCAUCCUAUUUUCUCCUUUCUAUGGCCACUCCUGGUAUCACUGACCAUCUGUGAAAAGUAGACCUGGGUCCUGGAAUCGAGCCCCGCAUCAGGCUCUCUGCUGCUCAGCGGGGAGCCUGCUUCCCCCUCUCUCUCUGCCUGCCUCUCUGCCUACUUGUGAUCUCUGUCUGUCAAAUAAAU
rnacentral:lncRNA from 1 species